AUUGCAAAGUCGAAGAGCAACACAAAUUGGAAACAGAGUUAUUAGCAAUAAAGUGCAUUAAACUAUAAUAUAAAAAGUCAGAAGAGUUUAACAGUGUAUAGUUUUGGAUCAGAUGAUAUACAAAUUUAAUAUUUUUGUCAAUGUUCUUCAAUAAAAGAACAGAAAACUUUUUCUUCAUUUAAAGGCAGAGUAAAAUGAAAUAUUUGAAAAGCCCAUAACAAAAAAGUGUCGUAUCUCUUCUAAACUCAGGUAAAAUAAAACGCGAUAAUAUCCUAACCCGACCGAGUUUACUUGACACUAAAUCCCUUUGUUCCCUUUUUGACUGUGUUAUCGUUGACAUAAUUACCUCAGGAGGAAAGGAGGAGACGUGCAGAAAUGCACAACAAGGAUCACAGAUAAAAUUGCGUUCUCGCAAAUUUAGCGACUACAACAACUAUAAGCGCGGUGGCGCGCUUUCAUUGGUCGAUGUUAUUUCUCUUCUGCGAGUCACUCUUAACACAGUCGUAUACAGAAGUACAUUUCGUCGCUGUCCUAUAUAAGUUGCAAACAAGAUCAACUGAAUGUUGAAUACGAUUAAUUGAAGGAUCAAAGUGAUGUCAGAAUGUUGAAUUUCUUUAGAAGAAGCUGAUUCCUAUGGCGAUAACUUUCGAUAUCAUCUAAAGAACAAAUGUACGCAGCAGAUAAUAUUUUUAUAGAAAAUAUUUCAAAACGGAGCAUCAGUUUGAGACUUCAUCGGUUCAUACGAUGACAAAUUCAAAUUGGCCAAUUUGAUUCGAUUGUUCCUUCAAGGAAGAAUUAAGCCAAAGCCAGAAACAGAACAAAUGAUUUUGCACGAGAAUGAAUUUUAAAUUUUAAUUUUUUUUUUAAUAUUUUUGUAAAUUGUUUUCUAC